UACGGGGGGGGCAAGCGUUGUUCGGAAUUACUGGGCGUAAAGGGCUCGUAGGCGGCCAACUAAGUCAGACGUGAAAUCCCUCGGCUUAACCGGGGAACUGCGUCUGAUACUGGAUGGCUUGAGUUUGGGAGAGGGAUGCGGAAUUCCGGGUGUAGCGGUGAAAUGCGUAGAUAUCCGGAGGAACACCGGUGGCGAAGGCGGCUUCCUGGAUCGACACUGACGCUGAGGCGCGAAAGCUAGGGGAGCAAACGGG
rnacentral:rRNA from 1 species